rnacentral:rRNA from 1 species
UACGUAGGGUGCAAGCGUUGUCCGGAAUUAUUGGGCGUAAAGAGCUCGUAGGCGGUCUGUCGCGUCUGCUGUGAAAACUCGGGGCUUAACCCCGGGCCUGCAGUGGGUACGGGCAGACUAGAGUGUGGUAGGGGAGAUCGGAAUUCCCGGUGUAGUGGUGAAAUGCGUAGAUAUCGGGAGGAACACCAGUGGCGAAGGCGACUUCCUGGCCUGUUCUUGACGCUGAGGCGCGAAAGCUAGGGGAGCGAACGGG